UCUCUUGUGGCCUAAUGGUUAAGGACUCAGCAUUAUUACUGCUAUGGCUCAGGUUCAAUCCCUGGCCUGGGAA
rnacentral:tRNA from 1 species